UACGUAGGGUGCGAGCGUUGUCCGGAAUUAUUGGGCGUAAAGAGCUUGUAGGCGGUCUGUCGCGUCUGCUGUGAAAAUCCGGGGCUCAACCCCGGACUUGCAGUGGGUACGGGCAGACUAGAGUGUGGUAGGGGAGACUGGAAUUCCUGGUGUAGCGGUGAGAUGCGCAGAUAUCAGGAGGAACACCGAUGGCGAAGGCAGGUCUCUGGGCCGAUACUGACGCUGAGGAGCGAAAGCGUGGGGAGCGAACAGG
rnacentral:rRNA from 1 species